rnacentral:lncRNA from 1 species
CUUAAGCUGAAGAUUUCUUAAAUUUACCAGAACGUUGCACUGGACACUUGAAGUAAGAGCUCUUUGAAGCUGACGUGCUGUGGGAUAAAACACAUUCUUCCUUUGGAAAAGAGAAAGUCAAGAUAUUGUGGGGCAGAUGGAACAAUGGAACCAAUGAAACAGAGGUCAAAGCUGAAGGUUUCUGCUAGAAGCAAGCUAUAUACAGAAGAAACAGAUUUACAGAAGCGAAUGAGC